GUCAGCAGCCAUAUCAACCUGCAACUCACAGCUUGCAACCCACUGAAGCUAAGCAGGUGUGAGCCUGGUCAGUACCUAGAUGGGAGACCUCCUGGAAAAAACAAAAGGUUGCUGCUAGAA
rnacentral:rRNA from 1 species